CUCAUUAAGACAUUGAAUUUUAGCUGCUUGGAUAAUUCACAUCUUGUGCUGAAAGGUGAAAAGGGUAGUUGUGUUCUUCUAACACAAGAAUGCCCUGCAGGGGUCACUUAUGUUGAGGCAAUGAGGCUCGUAAUGUUGUUUAUCCUCAGCUGAGUUGUUUACUGGCACAUCAUGUAGAUAUUCUUUUCACUUGAGUGUAUUAUUGUGGAUUCCUUGUUUCAGUUGCAGCCCCGAAGAGAAAUCCUAAUGACUUAUCCUAUAUUUUUAACAGUUGUGGAUGACCUUUGAAAAAGCCUAAAAUGAAGAGGGACACAGUUUUUGUUUUAUCCAGCUGUAUUUACUCAGUGCAACUUAUAACACCCAAGUGAAAAAAAGGGCUGUAAAAAGGAUCACCCCCCUCAAAAAUUACUUGUGAACUCAAUCAGGUGCAGCUUAUCACCUUCUCAAUGGCACACAAAGCCAUUUGACAUUCAGCUGUGGUCAUUUUGAUCAACUCAACAUGAAAAGGGCUUUCCUGGAGCAUUUCAGUUCUUGGUAGUGCAAGUGAAGCAAACAAUCAACUCUGAAUGAAAAGAUCUCUGGAAUAAAGUUGUGGAUGGACACAAGUCAGGAGAUGGAUACAAAAAAAAUGUCAAAGGCUUUAUCAAUGCCUAGAAGCCCAGUGAAGUCUGUUAUUAAGAAGUGGAAGGUAUUUGGUACAGACCCUCCCUGGAUCAGGAUGUCGCUCCAAACUGGAUGAAAGAGUCAGGAGGAAACAGAGAGGUAACCAACAGCAACUCUGAAGCAGCUGCAGGAAUUUGACAAAUGUCCCUUUCACACACAGUCUUUACUGAUAAAUAACCAGUAAAUACCAUUAAGAAAUCGUGUGUGAACAGGACCUUUUCAAAAUACUGGUAAAUUUGUUAAGGCAAUUUAGCGGUAUGGGAAGUUGUAACAUUACCGGUAAUGCGCUCUGUGUGUACGCAGAAUGAGAUUACCAGUAUGAACACGUACGAGUUUAGAACGCACUGACGUAAGACGUCUACUCUGGACCAAUCAUUACAUUCUGACGCAGAUGAUGCAUUUACUCUGCACUGUGUAGUUUGGUUUGAAGUCAUCUAAUACGAUGUUUCUGGGCCAAAAACAACUGCAUGAAUGUGAACAUUUGACACAAGACUGAAAAAGUAAAAUGUUAAAAAAAUGUUUACAAACAGAACACCGGGAGGUGCAGCCAUUUAGGAGUCAAUUCCAGUUAAUGAUGUCACAGAAUUUACUGGUAUUUUGAAACUGAUGUGUGAAUGGCGUUUUACCGGAAAAAAAGACGGAACGUCGUUGCCUGUGUGAACAGCACAUCUUUGUAUUUACCAGUAAAGUCGUUAUGAUAAUUUUACAGCAAUUUACCAGUAUUGCUGUGUGAAAGAGGCUAAAGAGUGGUCAUUGAGUGCAUGUGAUUUCAGAAAAUGUGUCUAUUUUUUUCUAGAAGGCUGCCAUGAAUUAAUGAAUCCAGCUUUCCCAUGAUGUAAACCCAAUGUUCAGGCCCUUUCAGUAUAAACAAUCCUGGGCUCGUCUUCGGUGAAUCUCAUGACCUUCCAUAAAGUCACAAUGUCCUGGACUACAGUCACUGCUAGCUCACUUUACUAAGCACUACAGUAUACCACAAUAACCUCAGUUUUGUAGAAUAAUAAUAUGCAGUUAUGCUCAUGGUUCAGACUCAGCUGAGUUGGUUUUUAGGCAGUGGGUAAUGGGUGCAGGGUUUGAAAUGUUAGGAUGAAUGAGUUCAUCAAUACAAGUUAAAUAAAGUGCUGAUGGUGAGCUGUCUGGUGAGUAAUGCUGCUACCUGACCUCAGUCUGAAUAGAUAUAAUCUCUUUCACUCUCUCUUGCAAACACACAAUGAUGGCUUUGGAAUUUAUUGCAUAAGUGCAAAUAAUGAAAUCACAACAGAUUACCGAUAAAUAAAGGGUAACAGGAGGCCUCAGUAGUUUUUGGAACAGUGUGUUUUAUGCAUCUCAGUUCCAUUCUUAUUUCUUUAAGAAAAGAUUUGUGGACUUUGUGACGUUUGUGCGACAUCUUCAUGUAACUGCUAGUUUUACAAUUGCCCCAAAAACAUUUGGAUCCUUUGGGUCCCACACUUUAUAAAUGACAUUGCAUUAUAUAACAAAAUAUCAAUUUGAGUGGCAUUUAUACAAAAGAAAAAUAGCACAAGCAAAAUGUUUGGACUUUAUUUUUUUGAUAACUCAGAGGCCAAAUAAAAAUGUAAUUGCCUCUUCAUUUCAGACAAAAUAAAACUAAGAGGAUAAACGAAACUUUUUAAUGCACUAUUUGGUGCGUUUGCUGUAAUUCUUAAGAUGCUCUGUGUUAAAAUAAUGUCAGCAGUUCACAGGCACACCCUCCAAUCCACUUGCCGUGUUUGUUUUAGCUGUUCACAUCCUGUGUAUCGUCCAUAUUUCUUCAUCUCUUUGUGGGUGUUUCUUCCUUCAUUCUGAGACAAAAUGUUAUUUCUAUGGGGCCCCAGACAUAGUUGGAGAAAGAGGACAAAAUUUAAAUGGGGAAAAGCUCAAAAUACUUAAUGAUUAACUAGUUUUCUGUUAAACAAUGAAUAGGUGGAAAGCUGUGCAGUCACAUUUAUGUUACUCCUGAAAGUCUCAUUAUUACCACUGCAGGCAUGCAACACAAGAUAAACAGACAUGUUGUUUCUUAAAAAACUACCAAAAAAAAUAAAUCUAUUAUGAAAGUCUGUGAAACAGUGACUAUUGUACACACCAUUUCUGAAACAUCUGGCAGUGAUACACAAAAACCACAGUCAUAUUGAUCCUCAUUCAAUUAGUUUUGCUCAUGGUGAUAAACUUUAGAUGAGCAGUAUCUUGACAAGAUGUUAUGUGUGUUUGAGCCUGUAAUGACACCAGAGAAAAGAAUGAGAAGUCCUUUCACAGAGCAUGCUCUCUGCUAAUGGUGGCAAACAGUUAAUCAUGAUGUUUUUGACUAUUUAUGGUCUUAAAGCUGCCUAGUGCCACUGUUUGAUAAGGACAAAUGCACAUGUCCUGUCAUGCACCCUCUCUGCAGUGGAUUCCUCCUUCUGCUGGUGCCUUUUCCAGCAUCACUGCUGGUUAAACCGUCUAGAGACUUUAUAAGCUUUAAGUUAGUAACCCUAUAGAUAGUGCUACCAUGCAUUCAGAUAAUAUUCAAACCCUUGAAUAUUUUUCACAUUUUAUGUUGCAACCUUAUGCUAAAAUGCUUUAAAUUAUUUUUUUUUUUCAACAUCGGUCUACACUACACACUCCAUAAUAGAAAAGCAAAAACAAGAUUUGUGAUAACUUUGCAAAUUUAGUAUUUAAGUAUUCAGACCCUGGACUUGAACUAAAUCAAUCCUCUCUGGAGAGAGCUAAUGUCUUUUGACCAGUGGUCCCCAUCCAACCUGAAUGAGCUAGAGAGGAACAUAAUUUAAUACUGAUCCACUUAUGAAAUAAAUUCUGAAUUAUUUUUCAUGUACAGUGUGCUCACCUGUAAAAUGAAGUGUGCUUUUAUGCUGCACAGGGCCGGACUCAGAGGUGUAUGUGGCCACACAAGUGAGCUCACUGAUGAUGAGAUUUUCCGGCAGAUAUACUUGAUUCUCCAGCAUAAAAAACUUGCCAAGCUUCUUGACAGAACUGAUGUUGGAGGAAAAGUUCAAGGCAGGUUCCCAAUGAAGAGUGGGCGCUUUCAUUUUAUAUGUAGAUUUACAGACAGCAAUCCUUUGAUUGUUUUUGUUGUACUGCCAGGUGGAAACGUUGGUAACUAAAAACAAAUAAUUUUAAUUGAAUUUGAUAAUCA
ensembl:lncRNA